UACUUGUUUCAAGACUUCGUGCGGAUUUGAGUUUAGCGUGAAUAGGUGGACUCAUACCCAUUACGCCACGUCAACACCCUUCCAUUCUCUUUUAAAACCAAGCUCUCCCUCAUUACCUUCAGUAAAAUUCAGACCAAACCAAAGUCUCUCUGUCGAUUUAUUCCUUUCAUACAAAGCAAAAAACGAAAAUAAAUGGAGGGUCUUAUUCCUUUUGUUUACAGGGCUAUAGUCCAAUACAAGAAUGGCAGAGAAGGUGUUUUAGAAACAUGGUUCAAUGAGACAGCCUCAGCUUCAUACAUGAGACUCCCAGCUGGAGAUUCUGGUCGGUUUCAGAUAUCUGAUAAACAGGUCUUUCAAUCAGAUUAUGGGAAUUUUUCAUCACCAUCUUCCAUGGCUACUUCUUCUACUACUCAGAUUAUUUUAUCAACCGGAGUUCAGUCUCCUGUCCGUCGUUUGACUUCUCGCCGCGUCAUUACAUGAUGAUCAUCAUCAUCUGAAGGAAGCUGAAGGUGUGCCACUCUAGUCAAAUUAGUGUAUGGGUUCUAGAGUGUGUGUGAAAAAAGUGAUGGGAUGAACAAAGAGUUAAAGGCGUUGGGAGACCAAAGGGAUCGCCCUAUGCCUUUAUAUUGUUUUUGUUAUUGUUGUUAAGCUUAGUGUAAAUAUACCUGAUGUUCUUUAUUAAUGUUUCAAGGACAAAGGGCUUCUUGUUAUGUUAAUUGUGGAAUCAAAUGCAGCAAGAACGAUCAGUUUGUGUUUGUG